UGGACAAAUUAUUGUAUUCGACUGUAUUCACGGCGUGAAACAGGGGAUUAACUGUUUUUAAAUUGAAAAGUGAAUCAAUUGACAUAAUAGACUCCU
rfam:Nicotiana attenuata strain TT chromosome 7, whole genome shotgun sequence.